UUUCACCAGAAACAAAAAUGGUUUUAUCACAAGCGUUCACAUGGCCACAAUAAUGGCAUUGGUACAAAGAAGCGCUUAACAUUGACUCUCUUCUUCCACAGGAUCAUCCAACUCAUCCAACUCGAGUGCAAAACCGGAGGAAGCAGCUUGAGUAUUUGCGGCUGGAGAAUACUAUCAACCAACAUCUGACCCAGCUUCACCAUGAGUUCUUGAGGGAGCUGAAGCUAAAGAAAGCGGCUGG